rnacentral:rRNA from 1 species
UUAAAUGCCGUCGCUUAACGACGGCAUGCAUUGGAAACUGUUAACCUAGAGUUUGGUAGAGAGUUCUGGAACUCCAUGUGGAGCGGUGGAAUGCGUAGAUAUAUGGAAGAACACCAGUUGCGAAGGCGAGAACUUGGGCCACAACUGACGCUUAGGCUCGAAAGUGUGGGGAGCAAAUAGGAUUAGAUACCCUAGUAGUCCACACCGUAAACGAUGGGUGUUAAACGUCGGGAUUUAAUCUCGGUGUUGUAGUUAACACAUUAAACACCCUGCCUGGGUAGUACAUUCGCAAGAAUGAAACUCAAACGGAAUUGACGGGGACCCGCACAAGUGGUGGAGCAUGUUGUUUAAUUCGACGAUACACGUAGAACCUUACCUAGACUUGACAUCCUUGGCGAAGUUAUAGAAAUAUAAUGGAGGUUAACCGAGAGACAGGUGGUGCAUGGUUGUCGUCAGCUCGUGUCGUGAGAUGUUGGGUUAAGUCCCGCAACGAGCGCAACCCUUAUCGUUAGUUAUUUUGUCUAACGAGACUGCCAACGCAAGUUGGAGGAAGGUGGGGAUGACGUCAAAUCAUCAUGCCCCUUAUGUCUAGGGCCACAAACGUGCUACAAUGGUCGGUACAAACAGUCGCUAAUUCGUAAGAUAGAGCUAAUCUGUAAAGCCGAUCUCAGUUCGGAUAGAGGGCUGAAAUUCGCCCUCUUGAAGUUGGAAUCACUAGUAAUCGCGAAUCAGCCAUGUCGCGGUGAAUACGUUCUCGGGUCUUGUACACACCGCCCGU